UAAGUACGCAGAGGAUAUGAAAGCAAAUAUGACCCCCUCAGUAAUGGCGAAUGAACAGGGAGCAGCUCAACAUGGAAAUCAGGGCUUGCCAGCCUGACUUGUAAUCACGAGGUGCAACACCAAUGGAGGUGUAGGUGUAAGCCUGGUGGAAAACAGCACCAGCGAAGGUGAGAGUCCUGUGCGUCGCCUGCAGCCCCCUGUGUACGGUGUGCUUACGAAGAGUCACGCUCCUCGGAAGUGGAGUGGGAAGCGGGUGGUAACCUUUACUUCAAGCUACACACUAGCUCGAGACCGAUAGCAAACAAGUACCAUGAGGGACAAGUGAAAAGAACUUUGAGAAGAGAGUUAAACAGUGUUUGAAAUUGCUGAAGCGGAAGCGAGGGUGACUUGUGUGCCAUUGUGAGAUUGCUGCGUGCCAAACGAGCUUGCUUGCCGCCGCGUGUUAGUGUGGGGGGCAGUGCAUGAGCAGGAUGCACGUGGUGCUUCUUACCCUGUGAGUCGUCACAACUUGCAUGCAAUGAAACAGUUGGUGCGUAGUAUCCUGUCCCUGGGUAGGUGAAUGUCCCAUUUUGCAUUUGCAGGCAAGCUGCCCGUUGACUACAAGGUUGCGCUCGACCCGUCUGGAAACACGGACCAAGGAGUCUAACACCUGUGCGAGCUCAUGGGUAGUUGAAGCCUGUGUGCGCAAUGAAAAUGGCUGCUGGGCUCUGUGCACCAGCAACCAACCGUUUGCUCGAGAAAGGUUUGAGUAUGAGUAUGUCUGUUAGGACCCGAAAGAUGGUGAACUAUGCUUGUGAAGGGUAAGCUCAGGGGAAACUCUGAUGGAGGCUCACAGCGAUACUGACGUGCAAAUCGUUCGUCAUACAUGGGCAUAGGGGCGAAAGACUAAUCGAGCCGUCUAGUAGCUGGUCCGCUUCGAAGUAUCCCUCAGGACAGCUGGAGCUGAGCAGUUUUGUCAGGUAAAGCAAAUGAUUAGAGGAAUCGGGGACAUGUUGACUUCGACCCAUUCUCAAACUUUAAAUGGGUAAGGUUCUGUGGUUACGUAGUUGAACUUCUGGGACCAAUGACGCCUCUAAGUGGGCCAUUUUUGGUAAGCAGAACUGGCGAUGAGGGAUGAGCCUAACGCUGGGUUAAGGUGUUUAACAGCACGCUCAUCAGAUACCAUAAAGGGUGUUGGUUCAUUUUGAACAGUAGGACGGUGGUCAUGGAAAUCGAAAUCCGCUAAGGAGUGUGUAACAACUCACCUACCGAAUGAAGUAGUCCCGAAAAUGGAUGACGCUCAAGCGGGCUACCGAUACCAAGCCAUUGCUACAAAGUUGCUGUAUCAAUGAGUAGGAGGGUGUGGGGGCUUGUGACGAAGCCUGUGGCGCAAGUCUAGGUGAAACAGCCUUUGGU
rnacentral:rRNA from 1 species